rnacentral:antisense_RNA from 1 species
UUAUAUGGCGGUUCAGGCAGGGGAGACUAACGUCUCGCUGGUUGAUGAAUCCCAGUACUGCGAACCCUGUUUGAAUCGCCACCACC